rnacentral:rRNA from 1 species
AGAACUAACAAGGAUUCCCCUAGUAACUGCGAGUGAAGCGGGAAAAGCUCAAAUUUAAAAUCUGGCGGUCUUUGGCCGUCCGAGUUGUAGUCUGGAGAAGCGUCUUCCGCGCUGGACCGUGUAUAAGUCUCUUGGAACAGAGCGUCAUAGAGGGUGAGAAUCCCGUCUUUGACACGGACUACCAGUGCUUUGUGAUGCGCUCUCAAAGAGUCGAGUUGUUUGGGAAUGCAGCUCAAAAUGGGUGGUGAAUUCCAUCUAAAGCUAAAUAUUGGCGAGAGACCGAUAGCGAACAAGUACCGUGAGGGAAAGAUGAAAAGCACUUUGGAAAGAGAGUUAAACAGUACGUGAAAUUGCUGAAAGGGAAACGCUUGAAGUCAGUCGCGUUGUCCGGGACUCAGCCUUGCUUCGGCUUGGUGCACUUUCCGGAUGACGGGCCAGCAUCGAUUUUGACCGCCGGAAAAGGGCUGGAGGAAUGUGGCACCUUCGGGUGUGUUAUAGCCUCCAGUCGCAUACGGCGGUUGGGAUCGAGGAACGCAGCACGCCUUAUGGCGGGGGGUUUACCCUACCUUCGUGCUUAGGAUGCUGGCAUAAUGGCUUUAAACGACCCGUCUUGAAACACGGACCAAGGAGUCUAACAUGCCUGCGAGUGUUUGGGUGGAAAACCCGAGCGCGUAAUGAAAGUGAAAGUUGAGACCUCUGUCGUGGAGGGCAUCGACGCCCGGACCUGACGUUCUCUGACGGAUCCGCGGUAGAGCAUGUAUGUUGGGACCCGAAAGAUGGUGAACUAUGCCUGAAUAGGGUGAAGCCAGAGGAAACUCUGGUGGAGGCUCGUAGCGAUUCUGACGUGCAAAUCGAUCGUCAAAUUUGGGUAUAGGGGCGAAAGACUAAUCGAACCAUCUAGUAGCUGGUUCCUGCCGAAUUUUCCCCUCAGGAAACU